rnacentral:rRNA from 1 species
UAGGGAAUCUUCGGCAAUGGACGAAAGUCUGACCGAGCAACGCCGCGUGAGUGAAGAAGGUUUUCGGAUCGUAAAACUCUGUUGUUAGAGAAGAACAAGGACGUUAGUAACUGAACGUCCCCUGACGGUAUCUAACCAGAAAGCCACGGCUAACUACGUGCCAGCAGCCGCGGUAAUACGUAGGUGGCAAGCGUUGUCCGGAUUUAUUGGGCGUAAAGCGAGCGCAGGCGGUUUCUUAAGUCUGAUGUGAAAGCCCCCGGCUCAACCGGGGAGGGUCAUUGGAAACUGGGAGACAUGAGUGCAGAAGAGGAGAGUGAAAUUCCAUGUGUAGCGGUGAAAUGCGUAGAUAUAUGGAGGAACACCAGUGGCGAAGGCGGCGCUGUGGUCUGUAACUGACGCUGAGGCUCGAAAGCGUGGGGAGCAAACAGG